UACGGAGGGUGCGAGCGUUGUCCGGAAUCACUGGGCGUAAAGGGCGCGUAGGUGGCGCGACAAGUCAACGGUGAAAGCUCGGCGCUCAACGCCGAGUCGGCCGUCGAUACUGUUGGGCUUGAGCACUGUAGAGGCUAAUGGAAUUCCGGGUGUAGCGGUGGAAUGCGUAGAGAUCCGGAAGAACACCGGUGGCGAAGGCGGUUAGCUGGGCAGUUGCUGGACACUGAGGCGC
rnacentral:rRNA from 1 species